rnacentral:rRNA from 1 species
GACGAACGCUGGCGGCGUGCUUAACACAUGCAAGUCGAGCGGAGCGGCGAACGGGUGAGUAACGCGUGAGUAACUGCCCCCCUCUCUGGGAUAACAGUUGGAAACGGCUGCUAAUACAGGAUAGUGGGGGAUGACUCGCGUCCUAUCAGCUUGUUGGUGGGGUAGUGGCCUACCAAGGCGACGACGGGUAGCCGGCCUGAGAGGGAGACCGGCCACAUGGGGUUGAGAUACGGGCCAAACGCCUACGGGAGGCAGCAGGGGGGAAUAGUGCGAAAUGGGGGAAACGCUGAUGCAGCAACGCCGCGGGCGGGAUGACGGCCUUCGGGUUGUAAACCGCGUUCAGCCAGGACGCGGUAGUGGCAGAAGAAGCACCGGCUAACUACGUGCCAGCAGCCGCGGUAAUAC